GCCGGGUGCGGUGGCGCGCGCCUGUAAUCCAAGCUACCGGGAGGCUGAGGCUGGCGGAUGGUUUGAGCUCAGGAGCUCUGAGCUGCAGCGGACUAUGCCGAUCGGGUGUCCGCACUAAGUUCGGUAUCGGUAUGGUGUUCCUGGGGAAGCCCGGGACCACCAGGUCGCCUAAGGAGGGGUGCACCGGCCCAGGUCGGAAACGGAGCAGGUCAAAGCCCCCGUGCCGCUCAGUAGUGGGAUCGCACCUGUGAGUAGACGCUGUAGUGCAGCCUGAGUAAUACAGCAAGACCCAGUCUUUU
rnacentral:SRP_RNA from 1 species